AUGUCGUUUUGGCACUCGAAUCACCGUGUGGAGUUGUCGGGCCUCGGCUCCCUCGGACGUCCUGCCCACCUACACGCGUGCGAAGGCAAGGAACUUCUGGACAGCCUGCUGGCCACUUUCACCGAUGUUUUCGCUGACCCACAGGGCCUGCCGCCGCAGCGCGCACAUGACCAUCAUAUUCAUCUUAUUCCUGGGACACCGCCGGUUGCUGUCCGUCCCUACCGCUACCCAACGAUUCAAAAAGAUGAACUAGAGCACCAAUGUUCAGAGAUGCUAGCUCGCGGUCUGAUCCGUCCUAGUUCUUCUGCAUUUUCAUCCCCCGUUCUACUCGUCAGAAAGGCCGAC
rnacentral:rRNA from 1 species